GACGAAGGGGGCUAGCGUUGUUCGGAAUUACUGGGCGUAAAGCGUGCGUAGGUGGUGAGUUAAGUCUGUCGUGAAAGCCCCGGGCUCAACCUGGGAAUGGCGAUGGAUACUGGCUCGCUAGAGUGCGGUAGAGGAGAGUGGAAUUCCCGGUGUAGCAGUGAAAUGCGUAGAGAUCGGGAGGAACAUCAGUUGCGAAGGCGGCUCUCUGGACCAGCACUGACACUGAGGCACGAAAGCGUGGGGAGCAAACAGG
rnacentral:rRNA from 1 species